GUUGAUUCAUAAUUUGAAAGUGACGCAACUUUGAUUUUUCUUGUAAGCGACGUGGUUCUCUAGCGUCCCCAUGAUUAUCGAUUAAUUUCUCAAACACACCAUUCUUCUUCUUCGCCAUAGCUAUUGCAAAACUCUCUAUCUCCAACAAUCAAUGGCGACGAUUUCAUUGGCAAACGGUUUAAAAACUCUUUUCAGUGUUUUGGGAACUAUCAUGCUUGCUAUCGUUCUUUACACAGUCAUAACCGAUGGUUUACCCUUUCGCAAAGAACUUCUCACUCCUUGGAUGGCAGCAACUUUGAUUGAUUUCUAUAUCAAUAUUGCAAUUUUGAGUGCCUGGGUUAUUUACAAGGAAGCUAAUUGGAUCAGCUCGAUUCUAUGGAUAAUUUUACUUAUCGGCCUUGGAAGCAUUGCUACAUCUGCCUAUAUUGUUGUGCAAUUUUUGAAGCUGUCAUCUCAAGAAUCUUCACAGGACCCUAUGUAUUAUGUUCUGCUGCGACAACCACACAAGAGUGGCACAGAACCAAAAACAAAGUGUUCUAUUGUUGCGACUCUAAGAAUCCUUUUCGGCAUUUUGGGUGUUGUCAUGCUUGGAACCUUGGUAUACACUCUUGUCACUGAUGGUUCUCCUUUCCGUACAGAGCUAUUGACUCCGUGGAUGGAUGCAACACUUGUUGACUUCUACAUCAAUGUUGUAGCUCUAGCAGUCUGGGUUGCUUACAAAGAAUCUAGUUGGAUUUACGCGGUCUUUUGGGUGAUUCUAUUGAUAUGUUUUGGCAGUAUUACCAGUUGCAUGUACGUAGUAUUGCAGCUGUUCCAGAUAUCUAGUCAAGAUCCUGCUUAUCUUAUUUUAGUGCGUCAUAGUGACAGAAACGGCAAUGAUUGUUGAUGGUAGGGCAGAAAACAAAUAUAAGGGGCUUUCUGCCGAGGCAACAUAGCAAUGGCUUGGCGUUAAUGAGCAAAAGACGUGGUAUCAGGAAGUAAAAAUGGACCAGAUAAUCCCUGAACAGAUAUUGUGACCCCAGAAUACAGAAAACUAACAUACUGAUGAAAUUGAUGCGUGGAGAUCGUCUCUGUAAACACUAGCUCACAGAUGGACGAUGUUAUUCUCCCUAGACAUAAAUAAACGAAACAUAGUUAUAUCCCUAGUGUAAUUGUUGACCUGUACUUUAUUGGGCAUUCAUUUUUUUUAUCCUGUAAAUGAAUUGAAUAAUAAUGUGUAAUAGUCGGAAUGGGGGAUAAUGUUCGAUCAUAGCUCAAGUAUCCAUCAAUUUGUUACUACCA